rnacentral:rRNA from 1 species
GAUUUCUGGCGAACCGUUGCGGCCCGUGCUCGUUUCGGGCGUGUGUGCCGUGUCGUGUUUGUCAUCCUUCCAGAAAGCUGCGUCUACCAUUCAUUUGGCCGGACGUAUGCGAUCUGGAUCGAUUACUUUGAAAAAAUUAGAGUGUUUAAAGCAGGCUUAUGCUGUGAAUACAUUAGCAUGGAAUAAUAAUUUAGGACUUCGGUUCUAUUUUGUUGGUUUCUAGGACUGAAGUAAUGAUUGAUAGGGACAGUUGGGGGUGCUAGUAUUCCGCGGCCAGAGGUGAAAUUCUUGGAUUCGCGGAAGACUAACUACUGCGAAAGCAUU